UGGGGAAUAUUGCACAAUGGGGGAAACCCUGAUGCAGCGACGCCGCGUGAACGAAGAAGGUAUUCGUAUCGUAAAGUUCUGUCCUAUGGGAAGAUAAUGACAGUACCAUAGAAGAAAGCUCCGGCUAAAUACGUGCCAGCAGCCGCGGUAAUACGUAUGGAGCGAGCGUUGUCCGGAAUUAUUGGGCGUAAAGGGUACGCAGGCGGUUUAAUAAGUCGAAUGUUAAAGAUCGGGGCUCAACCCCGUAAAGCAUUGGAAACUGAUAAACUUGAGUAGUGGAGAGGAAAGUGGAAUUCCUAGUGUAGUGGUGAAAUACGUAGAUAUUAGGAGGAAUACCAGUAGCGAAGGCGACUUUCUGGACACAAACUGACGCUGAGGUACGAAAGCGUAGGGAGCAAACAGG
rnacentral:rRNA from 1 species